UUGACAGGUAAAUAAACCAAGUCUUCAAAAUGUGAAAGACUUGCCCAAAUACACGAAUGAGAUUGGCAUGGUAUGGAUGGAAGUGAAGAAAAAUGUUCCAGGAACAUGGAUGGAGCUGAAGGCCAUUGCCCUAAGCAAACUAACACCAGAACAGAAAACCAAAUACUGCAUCUUCUUAUUUGUAAGUGGGAGCUAAACAUCAACUGCAUAGGGAC